rnacentral:rRNA from 1 species
AGCGUACACGGUGGAUGCCCUGGCAGUCAGAGGCGAUGAAGGACGUGCUAAUCUGCGAUAAGCGUCGGUAAGGUGAUAUGAACCGUUAUAACCGGCGAUUUCCGAAUGGGGAAACCCAGUGUGUUUCGACACACUAUCAUUAACUGAAUCCAUAGGUUAAUGAGGCGAACCGGGGGAACUGAAACAUCUAAGUACCCCGAGGAAAAGAAAUCAACCGAGAUUCCCCCAGUAGCGGCGAGCGAACGGGGAGGAGCCCAGAGCCUGAAUCAGUGUGUGUGUUAGUGGAAGCGUCUGGAAAGGCGCGCGAUACAGGGUGACAGCCCCGUACACAAAAAUGCACAUGCUGUGAGCUCGAUGAGUAGGGCGGGACACGUGGUAUCCUGUCUGAAUAUGGGGGGACCAUCCUCCAAGGCUAAAUACUCCUGACUGACCGAUAGUGAACCAGUACCGUGAGGGAAAGGCGAAAAGAACCCCGGCGAGGGGAGUGAAAAAGAACCUGAAACCGUGUACGUACAAGCAGUGGGAGCACGCUUAGGCGUGUGACUGCGUACCUUUUGUAUAAUGGGUCAGCGACUUAUAUUCUGUAGCAAGGUUAACCGAAUAGGGGAGCCGAAGGGAAACCGAGUCUUAACUGGGCGUUAAGUUGCAGGGUAUAGACCCGAAACCCGGUGAUCUAGCCAUGGGCAGGUUGAAGGUUGGGUAACACUAACUGGAGGACCGAACCGACUAAUGUUGAAAAAUUAGCGGAUGACUUGUGGCUGGGGGUGAAAGGCCAAUCAAACCGGGAGAUAGCUGGUUCUCCCCGAAAGCUAUUUAGGUAGCGCCUCGUGAAUUCAUCUCCGGGGGUAGAGCACUGUUUCGGCAAGGGGGUCAUCCCGACUUACCAACCCGAUGCAAACUGCGAAUACCGGAGAAUGUUAUCACGGGAGACACACGGCGGGUGCUAACGUCCGUCGUGAAGAGGGAAACAACCCAGACCGCCAGCUAAGGUCCCAAAGUCAUGGUUAAGUGGGAAACGAUGUGGGAAGGCCCAGACAGCCAGGAUGUUGGCUUAGAAGCAGCCAUCAUUUAAAGAAAGCGUAAUAGCUCACUGGUCGAGUCGGCCUGCGCGGAAGAUGUAACGGGGCUAAACCAUGCACCGAAGCUGCGGCAGCGACGCUUAUGCGUUGUUGGGUAGGGGAGCGUUCUGUAAGCCUGUGAAGGUGUGCUGUGAGGCAUGCUGGAGGUAUCAGAAGUGCGAAUGCUGACAUAAGUAACGAUAAAGCGGGUGAAAAGCCCGCUCGCCGGAAGACCAAGGGUUCCUGUCCAACGUUAAUCGGGGCAGGGUGAGUCGACCCCUAAGGCGAGGCCGAAAGGCGUAGUCGAUGGGAAACAGGUUAAUAUUCCUGUACUUGGUGUUACUGCGAAGGGGGGACGGAGAAGGCUAUGUUGGCCGGGCGACGGUUGUCCCGGUUUAAGCGUGUAGGCUGGUUUUCCAGGCAAAUCCGGAAAAUCAAGGCUGAGGCGUGAUGACGAGGCACUACGGUGCUGAAGCAACAAAUGCCCUGCUUCCAGGAAAAGCCUCUAAGCAUCAGGUAACAUCAAAUCGUACCCCAAACCGACACAGGUGGUCAGGUAGAGAAUACCAAGGCGCUUGAGAGAACUCGGGUGAAGGAACUAGGCAAAAUGGUGCCGUAACUUCGGGAGAAGGCACGCUGAUAUGUAGGUGAAGCGACUUGCUCGUGGAGCUGAAAUCAGUCGAAGAUACCAGCUGGCUGCAACUGUUUAUUAAAAACACAGCACUGUGCAAACACGAAAGUGGACGUAUACGGUGUGACGCCUGCCCGGUGCCGGAAGGUUAAUUGAUGGGGUCAGCGCAAGCGAAGCUCUUGAUCGAAGCCCCGGUAAACGGCGGCCGUAACUAUAACGGUCCUAAGGUAGCGAAAUUCCUUGUCGGGUAAGUUCCGACCUGCACGAAUGGCGUAAUGAUGGCCAGGCUGUCUCCACCCGAGACUCAGUGAAAUUGAACUCGCUGUGAAGAUGCAGUGUACCCGCGGCAAGACGGAAAGACCCCGUGAACCUUUACUAUAGCUUGACACUGAACAUUGAGCCUUGAUGUGUAGGAUAGGUGGGAGGCUUAGAAGUGUGGACGCCAGUCUGCAUGGAGCCGACCUUGAAAUACCACCCUUUAAUGUUUGAUGUUCUAACGUUGACCCGUAAUCCGGGUUGCGGACAGUGUCUGGUGGGUAGUUUGACUGGGGCGGUCUCCUCCUAAAGAGUAACGGAGGAGCACGAAGGUUGGCUAAUCCUGGUCGGACAUCAGGAGGUUAGUGCAAUGGCAUAAGCCAGCUUGACUGCGAGCGUGACGGCGCGAGCAGGUGCGAAAGCAGGUCAUAGUGAUCCGGUGGUUCUGAAUGGAAGGGCCAUCGCUCAACGGAUAAAAGGUACUCCGGGGAUAACAGGCUGAUACCGCCCAAGAGUUCAUAUCGACGGCGGUGUUUGGCACCUCGAUGUCGGCUCAUCACAUCCUGGGGCUGAAGUAGGUCCCAAGGGUAUGGCUGUUCGCCAUUUAAAGUGGUACGCGAGCUGGGUUUAGAACGUCGUGAGACAGUUCGGUCCCUAUCUGCCGUGGGCGCUGGAGAACUGAGGGGGGCUGCUCCUAGUACGAGAGGACCGGAGUGGACGCAUCACUGGUGUUCGGGUUGUCAUGCCAAUGGCACUGCCCGGUAGCUAAAUGCGGAAGAGAUAAGUGCUGAAAGCAUCUAAGCACGAAACUUGCCCCGAGAUGAGUUCUCCCUGACUCCUUGA